UGGGGAAUUUUCCGCAAUGGGCGAAAGCCUGACGGAGCAACGCCGCGUGCGGGAUGACGGCCUGUGGGUUGUAAACCGCUUUUCUCUGGGAAGAAGAUCUGACGGUACCAGAGGAAUCAGCAUCGGCUAACUCCGUGCCAGCAGCCGCGGUAAUACGGAGGAUGCAAGCGUUAUCCGGAAUUAUUGGGCGUAAAGCGUCCGCAGGCGGCUUAUCAAGUCUGCUGUUAAAGGCUGGGGCUUAACUCCGGUUAGGCAGUGGAAACUGAUAGGCUAGAGUGUGGUAGGGGUAGAGGGAAUUCCCAGUGUAGCGGUGAAAUGCGUAGAUAUUGGGAAGAACACCAGUGGCGAAGGCGCUCUACUGGGCCACAACUGACGCUGAGGGACGAAAGCUAGGGGAGCGAAAGGG
rnacentral:rRNA from 1 species